GCGGCAGGCUUAACACAUGCAAGUCGAACGGGCAUAGCAAUAUGUCAGUGGCAGACGGGUGAGUAACACGUGGGAACGUACCUUUUGGUUCGGAACAACUGAGGGAAACUUCAGCUAAUACCGGAUAAGCCCUUACGGGGAAAGAUUUAUCGCCGAAAGAUCGGCCCGCGUCUGAUUAGCUAGUUGGUAGGGUAAUGGCCUACCAAGGCGACGAUCAGUAGCUGGUCUGAGAGGAUGAUCAGCCACACUGGGACUGAGACACGGCCCAGACUCCUACGGGAGGCAGCAGUGGGGAAUAUUGGACAAUGGGCGCAAGCCUGAUCCAGCCAUGCCGCGUGAGUGAUGAAGGCCCUAGGGUUGUAAAGCUCUUUUAACGGGGAAGAUAAUGACGGUACCCGUAGAAUAAGCCCCGGCUAACUUCGUGCCAGCAGCCGCGGUAAUACGAAGGGGGCUAGCGUUGCUCGGAAUCACUGGGCGUAAAGCGCACGUAGGCGGACUCUUAAGUCGGUGGUGAAAUCCUGGAGCUCAACUCCAGAACUGCCUUCGAUACUGGGAGUCUCGAGUUCGGGAGAGGUGAGUGGAACUGCGAGUGUAGAGGUGAAAUUCGUAGAUAUUCGCAAGAACACCAGUGGCGAAGGCGGCUCACUGGCCCGAUACUGACGCUGAGGUGCGAAAGCGUGGGGAGCAAACAGG
rnacentral:rRNA from 1 species